rnacentral:lncRNA from 14 species
CGCGCAAGCACGGCAGCUCCACAACCCUGCGUGUCCACUUCCAGCGCAGAGGGCUACCGGCCUGCACACGGGCAGUGACCUCCGAAGGUCCUGAUUCUUUUAUUGCGUACGAUGGAACGAAAUUUACAGGAGGCUUUUGAGUGGGCGGAUGAUAUUAUUGAAUCUGUCCGGCAGCAGCCCCCUCCUUCAAGACUCACGUCCAGUGGGGAAAAGUCUCUUCAUGAAAAACUGUAUGACAUUUAUGUUGAAGAAUGUGAAAGAGAGGCAGAGGCAGGGGGCCUUCAAAGCAAUGUCAACUUGCUAGAGAAGCUUCUGAGGAGAGAGGCGUUGCCAUGUUUAGUGGUCAAUCUGUACCCAGAAAAUCAAGGCUAUUCUCUCAUGCUGAAGGACAAAAGUGGGUCAUUUUCAGAGACUUUUAAGUUGCCUUAUGAAAUAGAGAAAUUGCUUGAAUACUUGGAUGCUGAAGAGUUACCUUCUUUUCUGAUUGAUGUCCUGGAAAAGUCUCCUGUGAAUGUUUUUCACCAUGGGUGUGUCAUAGCAGAAAUCAGAGACUACAGACAAUGCAGUGACACCCAACCCCCUGGGGAGAUUGGUGAAGAGCCUGCUGUGUCAUCUGAUGUGUCCUCUGCUUCCUCGACUCCUGCUUACCAAACUCGACACAUUCUCUUACGUCCCACGAUGCAGAGUCUAGUAAGUGAUGUAGAGUCCAUUACAAGUGAUAACCGUCAGUGGACUGAGGAAGAAAAACUUGAGCUUGAGAGUCAACUGAUUUUAGCUACAGCAGAGCCACUGUGUCUGGAUCCCUCUGUUGCUGUUGCCUGCACAGCCAACAGACUGCUGUUUAAUGAGCAGAAGAUGACUGACUCUAUGAGACAAUGCUUCAAGAGGCGUGCAGCCUCUUCUCUGGAUCAAGAGGAGGUGUCAUCUGAGUGUACAUGUCCCCCUGACCUUACUUCAACAAUGACUCCUAUCAAAAAACAAGCAAAAAUAGGGCCCGAUGACCCAUAUGACUUGAUGACUACUGAAAUGGAUGCCUGGCUGCAGGGACCCAGUGAACUGACCAUGCCUUCCGAGAUGGAAGCAGAGACAUAUAUGAACGAGGUGCCAUCUCUGCUCUUUGAUGAUGAAGAACCAAGUGUCCUGGAAGUUCCUGAGGACCCAGGCCUCAAAGGCUAAGGCAGAGCAGGCAGUCUUGUGCCUAAGAGUCAGAGGAGACAACCUGGGCCCAACGGACCGCGCUUUAGCAAAAUCACUGCAAUUCAGGCGAAUGUUUGUGAAGAAGCAGGGCUUGAAGGCGCCGCCUGGCUAACUUUCCAUCUGCUCUUAUCCCGUACUGCCACCUAUUGGACAAGCUCUUCCACAUGCUGUGAGAUAAAUGAAGCCUAUUAAAGACAAAGAGAAACUAA